CGCGUAGGUGGUUUAUUAAGUCAGAUGUGAAAGUCCACGGCUCAACCGUGGAAGUGCAUUUGAAACUGGUAAACUUGAGUAUUGGAGGGGGUAGUGGAAUUCCCGGUGUAGAGGUGAAAUUCGUAGAUAUCGGGAGGAAUACCGGUGGCGAAGGCGACUACCUGGCCAAAUACUGACACUGAGGUGCGAAAGCGUGGGGAGCAAACA
rnacentral:rRNA from 1 species